UAAUGUAUGGGGAUCUGCCCGAUAGAGGGGGAUAACUACUGGAAACGGUGGCUAAUACCGCAUAAUGUCUACGGACCAAAGCAGGGGCUCUUCGGACCUUGCACUAUCGGAUGAACCCAUAUGGGAUUAGCUAGUAGGUGGGGUAAGGCUCACCUAGGCGACGAUCUCUAGCUGGUCUGAGAGGAUGAUCAGCCACACUGGGACUGAGACACGGCCCAG
rnacentral:rRNA from 1 species